ACUCCUACGGGAGGCAGCAGUGGGGAAUAUUGCACAAUGGGCGCAAGCCUGAUGCAGCCAUGCCGCGUGUAUGAAGAAGGCCUUCGGGUUGUAAAGUACUUUCAGCGGGGAGGAAGGCAAUACGGUUAAUAACCGUGUUGAUUGACGUUACCCGCAGAAGAAGCACCGGCUAACUCCGUGCCAGCAGCCGCGGUAAUACGGAGGGUGCAAGCGUUAAUCGGAAUUACUGGGCGUAAAGCGCACGCAGGCGGUCUGUCAAGUCGGAUGUGAAAUCCCCGGGCUCAACCUGGGAACUGCAUUCGAAACUGGCAGGCUUGAGUCUUGUAGAGGGGGGUAGAAUUCCAGGUGUAGCGGUGAAAUGCGUAGAGAUCUGGAGGAAUACCGGUGGCGAAGGCGGCCCCCUGGACAAAGACUGACGCUCAGGUGCGAAAGCGGGGGGAGCAAACAGGAUUAGAUACCCCAGUAGUCCCAUG
rnacentral:rRNA from 1 species